rnacentral:lncRNA from 1 species
CCAGGGGGUUCAGGAGGCGAGGAGGCCAGGGCGUGGGUUGGAGGACGGCUGUGCUGCCUUCUUCCUCCUCCCCAGGCUGCCGUGCUGGGGCCCCUCCCUCUUGGGAACCCCUCCCUCUCCGGAGGCCGUAUGGCUUCAGCCUGCUUUCUAGGACUCAGCGUUGGUGCCUGCCCUGCCACCCUGACCCUGACUUGUGCUCAAGCCUGGCACCUGGAUCCUGGUUCCUGCUUGGGGCCUGGGGAUGGGGUCCCAAUAGGCUUAUGGGAUCACAGGGCCACUGGGCCACCAGCUGCCCCUCCCUUGGCUGGAGUCCUGCCCUGACCUCCGGACUGGAGUUCCCCUCCUCUUCCAGCCCCACGGGGCCAAGACUCGGCCUCCUGGCUGGAGGCUCCACUGUCUGGGUGGGGCUGGUGGUGCCAGGGUCAAAUCCUGGGGCCUUCAUGCUCAAUUGUUGCUGACGAGGCCGCCUGGACAGCUUGCCUGGUCCCCUGUAUGUCCACUCUGGAUGUCCACAGUGACUCGGGCUCCUCAGCAGCCCACGUCCUCCUCACCAUCUCCCAGAACGUUGGAGUCAGGGAAACAGAGGCGUGUGGACAGGCCCUGGGCCCCUCCCCUAAGACUCACCCGGCCAUCAGGCGUGCGUGGGCCCGAGUACGGCUGGGACUCUCCCAUCAGCACAGACCACACGUCAAAAAAUUCCUGGGCAGAGAAGAGGAGGCCCACGGAGUACCGCUCGCAGUUGAGGUAGGCCCGCACCGUGUAGAAGGCCUUGUGGAACUGCCUCUCGAUGUCCGUCAGCUCCUCAAACACCUUGUUGGCCGACCACAGCAGCACCUGGAGGGAGGGGCACACCUGUGGGCCUGUGGCCACUCCCACCCUCACGCCGGUCUGACCACAGCAGCAGGGGUUUAACUCAAGCCUGACACAGGUGCGCUCCCUGAUCUGACCACCGGUUUCAUCUGAGCUUGUGGGGCCCGGGAGCUGGCUGGCGGUGAGGCCUCGAGGCUGCGGUCGUGUCCCUGAUCACUCAGGAGUGGACGAGUGGAAAGUGGAAUCUGUCGCUUUGAGCUUGACAGGCAAACAUCCGACCAGCCCUUCCUCCGCCCGGCUGCUCCAGAACCACCUGCGGCGAGCAGGGCUUUGAGAACAUCGGGCCGUGGUUUCCGCACGUCAGGCCGCCUGUGGCCUCCGCCAAGCGUCUGAGAGUGAAGCAUUGCUGACGCACUCCACGAGGUCCUGGCCAGACCCCACUCAGGACAUCCCGCUGCACAGGCCCCUGGUUGCUGGGUCAGCGCUGCCACCAGGCUCAGACUCACCCCAGGGCCCUCCUUGGGCCACCUUUCUCUGCCUCCUUGGUCAAGGCCCAGACCCAGGCCCCACCAGGCCCUGCCUCCUCACACUCGCGGCGGCCG